rnacentral:lncRNA from 10 species
AUUCAAGUAGGACCCAGGGUGCGUGCCCAUCUCCAGCCCAGGGCAGCUCCCCUGUAAGCUGGGUGAGCUACUGAAGCCAAGGCGGGAGGCAGCUGACAACACCCACAGCCCAUGCGGAGGUGGUGGAAAGGCUGAACUCAGCAGCAACACCAAAUCCUGGACCAGGCAAAAACCACCCAAGACUGAGGGGCUCGUGCCAGAGCGGUGGCCACAGAGACUUCAGAACCCACUCCUGAGAACAGCGGAGCCAGGCGCUUAGAGGAAGACCAAAUGCUGCCAGGACACGGAUUGUCCAGGAUUACAUUCCAGCAUCUUAUUAGAGGACCGAAGCAGAGGGUGCUGUUUCAACGCCACCACCAGGAGAGAGGCAGAGGGGCUGUGCCGUGCUAGAGUCCUCAGGGAGGGAGUGACCUCGACCCUGGCUGUGCUGCAAGCUGACUCCAGCCUUGGGGUCAGCAGCACCCGGCAAACAGCAGCAGGAGGAGCCGCUAGAGCAGCUGCUCAUGGGCAGAGCUGCCCUCGGGCAACUCCUGCCACCACCCCCUCCCCAGGGAGCCCA